CAUGUCCACUGAGUCGGUGAUGCCAUCCAACCACCUCAUCCUCUGUCGUCCCCUUCUCCUCCUGCCUUCAAUCUUUCCCAGCAUCAGAGUCUUCAAAUGAGUCAGUUCUUCAGAUCAUGUUACACCGAGACAUUGUGUGUGACCGUGUAUGUGACAUAUCGGUGACUGCAUGUGACAUCAUGAGUUUGGGUGUCCAUGAGACACUAUUUGGGGGACUGUGACAUCGAGAGACCAUGUGUGAGCAAGAGGUCAUGUGUGACAGUGUGCAAUAUGGCAAGGAUGGGAGAGUUGUGUGUGUCCACGGGGAGAUGGUGUGUGAGAGAGGGCAAGAAUGAAUGAGAAUGACCCACCAAGUAAUGGUGUGAGAAGCAGUGUGAGAGACCUGUGGGGAGGGAAGCUGAGUGUGAGUGACCUUGUGAGUGUGCAACAAAGAUGUGUCAGCCACAAUGGUGACAUGUGAGAUGCCGGGUGUGACUGUAACACAGAUCAUGUGGGACCCUGAGAGACUGGCAGAGUGUCAUGUCAGUGCAUUAGAGAGUGUGCAACUGUCCAGGGUGCUCAGAUGAGCGUGCAAGAGAAACCUCAUGGGUGUGAGUUGUGACACUGGGAGGCUGCGGUGUGAAGGCAGCACCUGUGUGUGAUACAGACUGUGUGAGGCUCAGCAAGACAUCUUGAGAGGUUGUGUGUGAUCCUGUGUGGAACUGUGUGUGUGUAUACACUGGAUGCUCAGAGGUCGUCCCUUUGACUGUGGUUGUGUAAGAUGUCACUGGUGGUGAUGGGCCUCUCAGAUUGUGAGGGACUGUGUGACAUUUCGAGAAGUCGAGUGACUGUGGCCCUGUGGAAGGUUAGGGUGGUUCAGGAGACUGUACACAACGAGGAGCUGUGCAUCUCUGCGAGGGACUGUGAGUAUGAUUCUGUGUGCUGAGAGGGGAUCAUCUGGGAUGGGGUGACACGGAGGUUGUGGGUGGGACAGGGUGGCAGAGCGUAUGUAAUGGAGUGUGAGGCUGUGUGGGACCCACAGGAGAGCUCUGGAUGACUGUGGGAUAAAUGCGGCAGAGCGGCGGGACUCAUCCUAAGAGACUCUUGACCUGUGAGAGUGUGUGUGUGUGUGUGUGUGUGUGAGUGUGUGAGUGUGACAGAGAUAGAGACAGAGAUUGAGAAGGGAGACAGACAGAGAGGAAGGGAGAGAGACACAGACACACAAAGACAAAGAGAGAGAUGGACAGACGUAAUGAGAGGACCCAGAGAGAAAAGACGCAAGGGUGAUGGGGAUGCUGGUGGCAGGAGGAGGCGGGUCCUCAGGGGCUGUGCCCCAGGAGAGGGGGCGGGGCAGAACUGAAGCGGGGCGGGGGGGGGGGGGAACACCCAGACGCUGUGUCUCGGCCACCCGCCUGCCUUCCCAGCCCUGAGCAGCAACAGGUAGGAUGCUGUGGUCCUGAACCCCGACAGCUGGUCCCUCUGCCUGGGAAUGAAUGAAUGCGUGAGUGAAUGAAUGACUUUAUCCUUGCUCAUCUCCAUCAGCCUGUCUUCCCCUCUGUCUCUCCGUGUGUCCCCUCCUGCACCUCCACUUCCUUCUGUCUGCCCUGCCCUUUCUCGCCUCUCUCCCCUCUAUCACUGUCCCUCCCCCUAGCACUCUAUGUGCCCCUCUUUCUGUUCUCUCCCACCUCCGUCACUCCAUCUCUCCCCAAGCCUUCCAUCGCCCCUUCUCUUUCCUCCCUCUGUCCUUUCGUCCGCUCUGUGCUUCUCUCUCCCUGUAUCACUCUCUUUCCUCACACCCCUGUCUCCCUCCCUCCCUCUGUCUCUUCUCUCUCCAUCGCUCCAUCCCUCCCGCCCGCCUCUCCACCUUUCUCUCCUUCAGUCUCUUUAUUCCCCCCUCCCUCUCCCCGUCUCUGUUUGUCCCCUCUGUUUGUCCCUGUCGCCAUCCUCCCUGUCCCUCUCCCAGUCCUGGCUGGGUUGCCCCCCUCUCCAGCCCUUUCUCUGGCUGCUAAUGAGCAGAGGAGCCUUUGAGGUGGCCAGGGCUGGGAUGGGGGGCUCCCCGAGGGGGGCGGAGGGGGCAGCUGCUGCCAAGGCCCUAAUGAGGCCCCCUCUGCGCCCCUCCCGCCGUGAUCUUAAUUCCUUCUUCUCCCUGGAGCCAGCGCUAAUUGGCCUGGGGAGGGCCCCCUUCUGGCUCAUGUGCUCUCUCCAGGAGGUGAGGACACCUGGAUCUCUGGAUCCAACACCUGUGUUCCUGUCCUUCUGUCCCUCCCUCCACCAGCUUCUCGGCCUCCCAUCUGUGCUUUCCCCGCUGCCUUCCCUCUCUUCUCUGUUCCCUCCGUCACCUGCCUCUAGGUACCCCAUCUGUGCACCCCUCCAAGCCUUCUCUUGGCCCUCUUGGCCCUGUUCAUUGGUCCCUCUUUCGGCCGGCUUCUUGGUCCCCCAUCUACGCAGAUCUCCAUCUCUCCCCUUUUCUUCUGUUUUUCUGUCUCUUCCUCCACUCUGGACACCGCAUCGGUGAGCCCUUCACGCACGCCCCUGUUAACUGGGUUCCACCACCACCACCAACCCUAUCUGGGGACCCAGUUUUGCCCUAGCCUACUCCUUCGCCUCCACUCCCACGGGCUUUUAACCUUUUCCCGCCGCAGCCAUGUCCAACAACAUGGCCAAGAUCGCGGAGGCCCGGAAGACCGUGGAGCAGCUGAAGCUGGAGGUGUCGCAGGCAGCGGCCGAGCUCCUGGCCUUCUGCGAGACUCACGCGAAAGAUGACCCGCUGGUGACGCCGGUACCCGCCGCAGAGAACCCCUUCCGAGACAAGCGCCUCUUCUGCGUCCUGCUCUGAGCCCUCCCGACAG